rnacentral:rRNA from 1 species
AACGCGAAGAACCUUACCUGGGCUCGAAAUGCUAUGGACCAGCUGGUGAAAGCCGGCCUUCCCGCAAGGGACUGUAGUAUAGGUGCUGCAUGGCUGUCGUCAGCUCGUGUCGUGAGAUGUUGGGUUAAGUCCCGCAACGAGCGCAACCCUUGUCCUGUGUUGCCAUCAUUCAGUUGGGAACUCGCAGGAGACCGCCAGGGAUAACCUGGAGGAAGGUGGGGAUGACGUCAAGUCCUCAUGGCCUUUAUGUCCAGGGCUACACACGUGCUACAAUGGACGGUACAAAGGGCUGCCAACCCGCAAGGGGGAGCCAAUCCCAAAAAACCGUUCUCAGUUCGGAUUGCAGGCUGCAACUCGCCUGCAUGAAGCUGGAAUCGCUAGUAAUGGCGGAUCAGAACGCCGCCGUGAAUACGUUCCCGGGCCUUGUA